CACAUAAGGGACUCUGUGAAUAUGUGUGUAUUUGUUGUGUGCUUGCCCGCAGAAUGGGAUACAGAGACUCACUCUAUUCAUCAAGGAUUUGUUUUAAUCAGGAAUUGGCAAGCAUGGGAAGAGCACGCUGUCCAGGGUUGGCAAGGCCUGGAAAUGUCAGAGCAUCAGAAUACUGAAAAUAAGAGACAUGGUCAGUACUCAUACAUAGACAUGACACACACAUAUACACACAUACGCAGACUCACAUAUGUCAACAGCUGAAUGAAAAAUGUCUUUCAUUCCUGGAAGCAGGAAUCAUAUCACUUUCUCCAAAGCAUGUCUUUUUCUAUGCAAUGGUGUGCUUUAGGUGCAAGAACACUCGAGAAGCGGCAAAGAUAAACAAAUCCAAGUGUUAUAA